rnacentral:tRNA from 1 species
AGAGGUGCAGCUCAGUGGCAGAGCUCUUGCCUGGUAUGCAUGAGGCCCUGGGCUUGAUUCCCAGCACCAAUA